rnacentral:rRNA from 1 species
GUGUCAGCCGCCGCGGUAAUACCGGCAGCCCAAGUGAUGGCCGAUCUUAUUGGGCCUAAAGCGUCCGUAGCUGGCCACGCAAGUCCAUCGGGAAAUCCACCUGCCCAACAGGUGGGCGCCCGGUAGAAACUGCGUGGCUUGGGACCGGAAGGCGCGACGGGUACGUCCGGGGUAGGAGUGAAAUCCUGAAAUCCUGGACGGACCGCCGAUGGCGAAAGCACGUCGCGAGGACGGAUCCGACAGUGAGGGACGAAAGCUCGGGUCACGAACCGGAUUAGAUACCCCGGUAGUCC